ACCCUGGUGGUUCAGUGGUUAAGACUCUGAGCUUCCAAUGCAGAGGGCAUGGGUUCAAUCCCUGGUCUGGGGCU
rnacentral:tRNA from 1 species